GGAGGUGCAGCUCAGUAAUACAGCACAUGCUUUGCAUGUAUGAGGUCCCAGGUUUGAUCCCCAGCACUUCCA
rnacentral:tRNA from 1 species